GGUGAGGGCGGCCGCGGCGGCGCCUGAGUGCCAGGGUGUCCAGCUCCCAUGUCCAGCUCCAGCGUGCAUGUCCAAGAUUUGAACGUGUAACGCCAGGUUUUAAAGUCCUUGGAGCAGCGCACCGCACCUAGGGUGCCUAGGGUCCAUGGGAAGCCUGAGCAGAGGGUAACAUAGAGGUACAUCGCCCACAGGAGAGUAACGUUCAGGAGGGGGGCAUUGGGUUCUGGAUGGACAGGAGCUUAUCCUACGCCUGGCAGAUCUGGACUAUCCAUGCUGGAGCGCAGCUAAGGCUCCAUGAAGGGCAGUAUUGGGGCCCCCAACCCGCGCAGGCGUUCUGCGGGGGCCCGUCGUGGCGACUUUCCUAGUUGUGGCCUUGAUACGGCCUUUUGUUGUGUGUGAUCCUGGCCACCCUCCUGAGCCGCACUUAGGGCCUCUUCCCUAAGGAGUGCGGUGAAAGGCGCAUCUCUGGUUGCUUGGUGGUGUCCGCUCUGCGGUACGGGGCGGUCCGGUCGCUGGUAUCUCUUCGGGCCUUCGUGCCUUUCCUGGCGUUACAGUGUUGGGUGCUGUCAGCACUACCGGUGUCCCAGUCGGACCCACUGUAAAAUCUAAUAUCAAGGGCAAGGAUUGCGGCUGAGGUAUGAGCCCCAUUCAUUGAAUGCGGUGAACCGCGCGGUCCAUGGCGGAGUCCGUUGUGGGGGGAACACAUUUUCUGUACUGGCCUAGCCUGUAUGGAUUUAAGUGAAGUUUUAAGCGUAGUACCAAUGGUGGGUUCGGACCACUUCCAUCACCCUCCGUGACUUUUCCAAAACGGAGCCCCUCGGAUUUUUUUUCCCAGGUGUUUGACUGUGAAUCAUAAAAGCUUCUAUUACGAACAUUGCUGACGUAAAUCCAAUGCUUUAUUCAAUAGCGAACGUCUCAAAGCGUGCUCGUUUCUGUAAUUACCUGACAUUGCAAUUUUCAGCGAGAUUCCCUUCAAUCCUCACAUGCCGCCCCGGCCCUGACACCUAGGCAGCAGUCCUUCGCAGCUCCUCCCGGCGCGGUACGUGUACGUUAUGAUAAUUGCCUGUCACUAACGAGCAUGCCGUUAUGACUGCCUGCUUUCCCGGUUUGUUGGGGCAACCAGCACAACGCAGAUGCUCAUGAAGCGCAGCCGUGUUUAGUAAUGAGGUGACCUGGGAUACAAACGUUCACAGAAGUUGCCGCUGAGGCAAUGGGAAUGCCGAAGAGGAGGAAACGGGACAUGAUUGCCAUGCAAGUGCUGUAUGUUUGCCACCUGUGCCGUAUAAAUCCGCCACGCCAUGGGCUGAUCAGAAGCUGUUGGCAGACCUUCACAUUAAUUGCGCCCAACCGUGCUCAGUUGCAUAAUUAUGGACACGGAAAAGAAUAAAAAAAGUUUGUUAAGCUAUUAAUACAUUGCCGUUGUGCAGUCCAAGCUAAUGCUCCCCAUCCAGUUGCACUUCGACUU
rnacentral:lncRNA from 1 species